GGACCUCUCUGAUUGGCCGUGGUCCAGUGGAAAGUGCAGGUAGAAGAGGGAGUUGUACAUCAAGCAGCACCCGCUUGUCCUCGCCAACAUGUAUCCUCCAGCUGCAGUCCUCUCCUUCUCCAUACCAUUCUGGCCAGUUUGGAGACAAAAUUAACCCUCCUGGACCCGACAAAUCACCUCCACACUGUGCUGCAGAGGAAAGGUGGAGAACAAAUGGCAGAAAAAAAAAGGCUCAGUAUCAUUCCAGUAUGGAUCUCUGGCACUGAUGCAUUCAAUCACAGGGGGACCUUGCUCUAAGGAGUGGCCUGGAUCACAAGUAAACUGAACCACUGUUCC